CACGGAAGGAGUUUUCGGACAACGGAAGGUGAGGACAGUGGCGGACGGGUGAGUAACGCGUGAGGAACCUGCCUUUCAGAGGGGGACAACAGUUGGAAACGACUGCUAAUACCGCAUAACGCAUAGGUAUCGCAUGGUACUUAUGCCAAAGAUUUAUCGCUGAAAGAUGGCCUCGCGUCUGAUUAGCUGGUUGGUGAGGUAACGGCCCACCAAGGCGACGAUCAGUAGCCGGACUGAGAGGUUGACCGGCCACAUUGGGACUGAGAUACGGCCCAGACUCCUACGGGAGGCAGCAGUGGGGAAUAUUGGGCAAUGGGCGCAAGCCUGACCCAGCAACGCCGCGUGAAGGAAGAAGGCUUUCGGGUUGUAAACUUCUUUUGGCAGGGAAGAGGAGAAGACGGUACCUGCCGAAUAAGCCACGGCUAACUACGUGCCAGCAGCCGCGGUAAUACGUAGGUGGCAAGCGUUGUCCGGAUU
rnacentral:rRNA from 1 species